rnacentral:rRNA from 1 species
AACGAACGCUGGCGGCAUGCCUAACACAUGCAAGUCGAACGAGACCUUCGGGUCUAGUGGCGCACGGGUGCGUAACGCGUGGGAACCUGCCCUUAGGUUCGGAAUAACUCCCCGAAAGGGGUGCUAAUACCGGAUAAUGUCUUCGGACCAAAGAUUUAUCGCCGUUGGAUGGGCCCGCGUUGGAUUAGCUAGUUGGUAGGGUAAAAGCCUACCAAGGCGACGAUCCAUAGCUGGUCUGAGAGGAUGAUCAGCCACACUGGGACUGGGACACGGCCCAGACUCCUACGGGAGGCAGCAGUGGGUAAUAUUGGACAAUGGGCGAAAGCCUGAUCCAGCAAUGCCGCGUGAGUGAUGAAGGCCUUAGGGUUGUAAAGCUCUUUUACCCGGGAUGAUAAUGACAGUACCGGGAGAAUAAGCUCCGGCUAACUCCGUG